GCUCUCUUGAAGUUAGUGGCGAACGGGUGAGUAACGCGUAAUCAACCUGCCCUUCAGAGGGGGAUAACAACGGGAAACCGUUGCUAAUACCGCGUACGAUUCACGAGCGGCACCGCUUGUGAAUGAAAGGUGGCCUCUAUGUAUAAGCUAUCGCUGAAGGAGGGGAUUGCGUCUGAUUAGCUAGUUGGAGGGGUAACGGCCCACCAAGGCAAUGAUCAGUAGCCGGUCUGAGAGGAUGAACGGCCACAUUGGGACUGAGACACGGCCCAAACUCCUACGGGAGGCAGCAGUGGGGAAUCUUCCGCAAUGGACGAAAGUCUGACGGAGCAACGCCGCGUGAGUGAUGAAGGUCUUCGGAUUGUAAAGCUCUGUAAAUCGGGACGAAAGAGUUCUGUGUAAAUAAUGCAGAAAAGUGACGGUACCGGAAUAGAAAGCCACGGCUAACUACGUGCCAGCAGCCGCGGUAAUACGUAGGUGGCAAGCGUUGUCCGGAAUUAUUGGGCGUAAAGCGCGCGCAGGCGGCCUAUCCAGUCUGUCUUAAAAGUUCGGGGCUCAACCCCGUGAUGGGAUGGAAACUAGUAGGCUAGAGUAUCGGAGAGGAAAGCGGAAUUCCUAGUGUAGCGGUGAAAUGCGUAGAUAUUAGGAAGAACACCAGUGGCGAAGGCGGCUUUCUGGACGAAAACUGACGCUGAGGCGCGAAAGCCAGGGGAGCGAACGGGAUUAGAUACCCCGGUAGUCCUGGCCGUAAACGAUGGGUACUAGGUGUAGGAGGUAUCGACCCCUUCUGUGC
rnacentral:rRNA from 1 species